rnacentral:rRNA from 1 species
CCUACGGGGGGCAGCAGUGAGGAAUAUUGGUCAAUGGGCGGAAGCCUGAACCAGCCAAGUCGCGUGAGGGAAUAAGGCCCUACGGGUCGUAAACCUCUUUUGCCGGGGAGCAAGGGCCGGGACGCGUCCCGGCCCGGAGAGUACCCGGAGAAAAAGCAUCGGCUAACUCCGUGCCAGCAGCCGCGGUAAUACGGAGGAUGCGAGCGUUAUCCGGAUUUAUUGGGUUUAAAGGGGGCGUAGGCGGGCUUUUAAGUCAGCGGUAAAAAUUCGGGGGUCAACCCCGUCCGGCCGUUGAAACUGGGGGG